rnacentral:lncRNA from 1 species
CUGAUCUGUCCACCUGGAACCAGCUGGGGCUAUAGCCACACCGGGCUGUGCUCCAGCUUCUGAGGCCUCUGCUGGGGAGUCCCCGAGAGCCCUCUGAGCUCUGCCUUUCGCACGGUCUCUCUAGCAGGUGGAGAGGGGAUGCUGGUGGCUGAGAACCACUGCGGGGCGGGGUGGACAGUGUGAGCCUGGGCUCUCAACACCAGCCAUGCAUUUCGGCAUCCCUAAUUCUUUGUUUUGCCUUUAAUCUUUAUUAAAUUACUGUCGAAACUAACUCACUCUUCAUAAUUUUCACAAAGUAGUCUAGGUGAAAUAAAACAGACUUUGGAGCCAGAAGAAUCGAAAUAAAAUUCUCAUUUCCCAAUUACUUGCUGUGCUACCUGGUACAAAUGACUUGGCCUGUCUGAGCCUGUCUGCAUUUUUAAAAGGAAGUAACGACACCUGCCUCAUGAUACAGCUGAAAGGACUAAGUUAGAUGAAAUGUCUCUGGUCCUGAGCAGGGCACCAGUGGUGCCCACGGUGCCGGUUACUGGGGUGAGUGUCACUUGUGUUGAACUGAGCAGGGGGCCAAGCGCCAGUCCUGGGCUGUAUCUGUAUCUCCACGGAAGAUCAAAACGUGGGGGCCGAGGAGUCCUCUAUGGAUUGUUUCUUCUGAACAGAAACAGUGUGUGAAGUCAAGCGGGGGAGCCCUCCCUUUCCAGAAGCGAGUCAUUGAAGAAAUGCCCCUGUGCGGACUCCCCACACGUUAGCACUGGCGGCCAGGCCGGCCUCCCAUGGAGAGCCCCUCUUCAGAGCCACCUUGCCCCCAUUUCCCCCUCAACUGCUCAGCUCACUGGGGAGGAAGGCAGCGAAGUUGUAAAAACUUACUUUUUGGAAAAAUAAGAAUUAUGGGGAAGGACAUUAAUUUAAAAGCUUUUAAGGAGCCAAUUCACCUGUGAAAGUGCUCCCCAGGUGAGGGCCUUCCUGUGUGGAGAACAGCCCGGUCUUUAAAAGCAUUUUAAUUAAUGUUGCUGAGAAACACGCUGAUGGUAUUUAAGUCUGAAGAGCAAAGGUACCAGCCAAGAGUUUUAUGACGUGGUGCUAGUUCUCUUAAAGGCUGUUGAAAUAAUGUUCCCGUGCACUCAGCCUCCCCACUUAGUGCGGGUGGCGGCCAAGAGGAAGUGCUGGAAUCCUCGGUGGCCUAACCCCGGCCCUCAGGACAGAACAGAAGGCAGGCGGCCCCGGCCAGGACAUGCCCAGUGGAAUUUCAGAGGCACUUUCGGGAACACAGCGCCUUCGCACCUUCUGCUCGGUACACACCUCGAGGGGUGGCAGCCAGCUCUUGGCGGCCCACCCAGCACCCUGAAGCCUGAACUGCCUGGACUGUCGCUGAGCAAAUGCCAGGGCCCGAAGAGGACCUGGAAGAGGGCGGGUGAGGGGCUGCAGGCGUGUGGGGCCUGGAUGAUCCCAUCUUGACGACGAGCUGGGAACCGCAGACCGGUGUCAUCCUGGCUGGAGAUGGAGGUCUCUACAUGGCUCCCUGUGUGGCCAGACCACUGUGGCUGGACCAGAGUUUCCCGAUAGCCUCUGGGAAUGGCAGGGACAGUGGGGGAGGAGGUCCCAGGGGAUUUUAUUAACAGAAGGGGGGAGAGAGGGUAGAGAAAGGUAAUGGGAACAAGUAGCUGAAAAUAUGCCCUGGAGAGCAGGGGAGGAGGCUGAGCAGGCAACUUCAAAAGGGAUGGAAGAAAAUGGGGGCUGCGGAGAGUUGAAGAGUGACCCCAAAAGAUAUGUCCAUCCAGAACCUCAGAAUGUGACCUUGUUUGGAAUAAGGGCUUUUGAGGAUAUAAUUCAGCAGCCCGGGGGCACAGGCACGCAGAAGAGACUUUCCCACAGCGGUUCCCAGAGCCCUGGAUGAGGCGUCCUCCAAAGGAUUAUGUCACCAAGUUUCUGCAGUUCUUUGCAGAUUCAGAAUCUAGAUGACUACUAACGAGCGUGAAGCGCCUGGUGGUUUUGGAAGUAAGCCUUCCCAGACUUCAGAACCCACGGUCACCUGGUGCCAUCGCAGGACCUGCUGGUCACAUCAGAGCUUCCUGCUGCAAGUGGGGCCGGGAGCCUGGGCCUCUGAUGCCCACAUGGACCCAUCCAGGACUUGGCCCACCCACUGAGCAAACCCAGGCAUCUCUUCCUGGUUUCAACGAGUCAUGCACCCACCUCGAAGACUCCUCCCUCUUUUGUCCUCUCGCGGAGCCCAGUCACAAGAGAGUUCAAAGAAAUCGGCAGGUCAGUCAGUGGGUGGGCAGGUAGAGACUCUCAAGAUUAAUCAGAGAAAUCGCCCACUGAAUGGGUGCUCUUAGGUCUGUGCCAAGGGCUUCUGUAACAAACUGCCCUGACCUGGGGUCUUAAACAACAGAAAUGCAUUUCCUCACAGUCCUGGAGACCAGCCAGUCCAAAGCCAAGGUGUCCACAGGGCCACGCUCUUCCCACAGCCUCUAGGAGAGAACUGGUUCCUUGCUUCUCAUCCAGUUUCUGGAGAUGCUGCCACCCUUGUGGUCCUAGGCUUGGCGACAUGUCCACCCUCGUGGUCCUAGGCUUGGUGACGUGUCCACCCUCAUGGUCCUAGGCUUAGGUAUGUGUUGCUCCACCCUGCGCCUCUGUCUUCACGUCACCUUCCCUUCUCUGCAUCUGUCUCCUUCUCUUUAUGAAGCCUCCUGUCAUUGGAUUUAGAGCCCACCCUAAUCCAGGAAGAUCUCAUCUCAAGAUUCUUAAUUGCAUCUGCAAAGACCCUUUUUCCGAACAAGAUCCCGUUCACAGGCUCUGGGCGGGCAUAUCUUUUAGAGGCCACCAUUCAACCCACUACAGCCUGCAUGGGAGACUGAGAAAUGACAGGCUUUUGGGGACAAUUUACACUUUUAAGCCACAUAUUAUAGUACCAGCUUUCCUGCCGCAGGUGGGGCUGGGAGUCUGGGUCUCUCAUGCCCACAUGGGGCCCAGCCAGAACUUGGCCUACUGAACAAACUACAAAAAUCUCUCUUCUUGUUUCAAUGGAUAAUGCACCUCCCUUGAAGAUCCAUCCUUUAUUUGUCCUUCAGUGGCACCCCAUGGCAAUUGUUCUGAAGUAUUUACUGACAAAAUAUCCCUGCCUGUUGGUUCAUCUUCCAGCUUGUCUCCAUAAGUGACAAUGAUUUGGGUGAGCCAGGGUGGAUUUCUGCAGGCUCCUGGACUCAAGCCUUCCUGAACUCAUCCCCUCACUCUCUCUCCCAAUCUCAGCCUGUGCAUUUAGGUCCUGCCCUGGAAUAUGGUAAGAUGGAAGACUUUCAUAAUUUCCGAUGCACUGCACUGAAUCUGGGAUUUGUAGCCUAUACUAGCAUCCUUUCUUUAAUUUAAACGAUUAGCGUUUCAAAUGUAACCAGGAACUGGGCACCACGAGAUAACCCCUGACUAUGACUACUCAGCCCCUUGGAGUUUCCCUUAAGGGGGGAAUGGGGUGUAGCAGCAGAGCCCUGGGAUUGGAGGCCUCUCCUGGUCAAGUGUAGUGAGGGUCAGAGGUCAUGUGCCAGGUGUGCACUAUGGAGGGACAGAGGCAUCAAGAGGCAUUCAUGUCCCCAUCCUUUGGUCGUGGGGGCGGGGGGUGGGUGGUGUCCUGCCCCAGGGUCCUUUUGUGUAGGGACAAGGCAUGUAGCUGUCACACAACGGUAACAGAAGAGUGGAUGACUGGCCAGGCUACCCCCAGGCAGCCACUGUCUGAAGUUUUCUAUCCUAGAGCUUUGAAAACCCAAAUUCCUCAUGCCAAGCUCAGCUUCAGUGAUUUAGGAGGCAGAAGGCAGACUGUACCCCAGUCUGCAUAUGUGCUGUUUAGGGCUCAUUUAGGACCCCCAGGAAGUGCUUCUUCAGUGAGAGGAUUCUAAAUAGCUCUUACGUUGGUAAAACUUUUACAGUAAAUACUGUCAUUAGCAUCCUAAGAAUAGUCUACUGUCUGGAGUAAAAGUCCCCAAACCAACAGCCCACAUGCCAGUACUGACUUUUGGCCAGGGGCCAUGUAGGUUUUAGUUCUGCAGACCCUUCUCAGGGCCACCACAGGGAGGGCAGGCUGGCUUCCCACACCUGGCAGCUUCACCUGGAGGAUAGGGUGCCAAGUCCCCACCCAUAGGCCUAUGCUGUCCAGCAGGGACGCCUCUUCCUAACCCGUUCACAGGCCGUUUUGCCUGGCAGUGGGCGCUGCCAAGCUCUACCUCUAUACUCCCCCCUUACUGGAAGCACAGGGCAAUCGGGGAAGCCCUCUAAGAUCCAGCAGGUGACCCUGGGCCCUGUUUUGGGGUCUGGGCUGGGCUGGACUACAGGGUCACCAAGGAAACCAGGAGCAGCCCUUGCCUCAGCUCAGCUUUGUCCUGAAGAAGGGCCUGCCCUAGCACCUGGGGGAGGUGGCAGCUGCAUCAUCCCAGAGGGGAGGGCAGGAGUGGGUGACCCUGAGCUCCCUGGGGGGCUGGGAGAGGACUGGAAUAAGCAGUUCUGGAUGGAGACCCGCCAGGCCCGCUCACUGUGUCAGCUGAAUUUGCAGGUAGAUGGACACCUCUGUGUGGCCAGAGGCCCUGACCGCUGAGCCUGGCCCAGGUCCUCACAGAUGCUCCGUUUGAGCACGGGGGUAUAGAGCGGGGAGGCUUGUUUUGCAGACUGGACCAGGCAAGGAGGCAAAGGUUGGCUUCUGCAGGUCUCAGUGGCUGGCUCAGACCCCGAGGAAUCUGCUGGUUUGUCACUGGGCCCUGCACUACACUACCCAACCCCCGGGGUGUCAGAGGCAGGCUGGGGGUCUGUGUGCUGAUCCACUUCUAGUGGUCUACACCAGUGUUCCAACUGCUUCUUCUUCUCCUGCUUGUGAGAUGGGCAGUUGAUAUCGUGAGGUCAAGAAGCAGGACCGCUAGCCCCAGUGGCGGCAUUGGUGAUGGCAGGGGCAGGGAUUUUUAACUUCUGUGCACCUGGGUUUUCUCAUCUGUAAAAAAUAGAGAUGACAAUUUCUGCUUUACCCACUGUAUCUAUGUCAAACAUGCAAUAAAACUGUGUGUUAAUGUGUUAUAGAAAUGAGGAGGUGCUAUGAAAGCGCACUCUAGUUAGAGACCAAGCCUGGAUGGAACUCAGGCUUUUCAACGGUGAAAUGGGAAAAGUCUUUUUGUUAUUUAAUUCUUUGAUGAUGGAAUAGGAUAAUUUGUGUGAUGGCAGCUAAUAUAUUGAAGGUGCUUCUGCAAUAUCAAUAUAAUAAUAAUUUUAAAAAGUGUUGCAUCUCCAAGAUAAUGUUUUGGCUUGUAAAAUUUUGACUAUUAUAUACGUAUAAGAAAAAACACAAAAUAGAGAUUUAAGCAAAAAUGAAAUAUUGUAUUAUUCACAGAUAAUCUAUAAUGUUUUGUUGUAGAUCUUUUCAGAUUUUUUCAUAUAUGUGACUAUAAUUAUUUUUUACAAAAAUUGGAUCAACACAUAUUUUCAUAUCAUUUUUAUUUUUUUGCUUUUAUUUUUAUUUUCUUUGAGACGGAGUUUUGCUCUUGUUGCCCAGGCUGGAGUGCAAUGGUGCGCCAGGCUGGAGUGCAAUGGUGCGAUCUUGGCUCACCGCAACCUCCCUCUCCCGGGUACCAGCGAUUCUCCUGCCUCAGCCUCCCGAGUAGCUGGGAUUAUGGGCAUGCGCCACUAUCCUGGCUAAUUUUUGUAUUUUUAGUAGAGACGGGGUUUCUUCAUGUUGGUCAGGCUGGUCUUGAACUCCUGACCUCAGGCGAUCCACCCGCCUCAGCCUCCCAAAGUGCUGGGAUUACAGGCGUGAGCCACUGCGCCUGGCCUCAUAUCAUUUUUAAUGCUUGCCCAGAAUUCUAAUUCUUUCUUAUUGCAUAUUUAGGUUGUUAAAAAUUUUUUUUAAAUAAUAAUAUGGAUAAGAACCUGCUUGUAGCUAGGACUCUGUAAUUGAAAAUCAAUCAGGUAAAAUAAUAAACUAGAAGUAGAGCAGCCCAGACACGAUGGCGAAACCCCAUUUCUCCAAAAAAUACAAAAAGGUUAGCUGAGCGUGGUGGUGUGUGCCCGUGGUCUUAGCUGCUCGGGAGGCUGAGGUGGGAGGAUUGCUGGAGUUCAGGAGGUUAAGGUUGAAGUGAGCUGAUAUGGUGCCACUACACUCCCGCCUGGGCAACAAAGCCAGACCUUGUCUCAAAAAAAAAAAAAAGAAGUAGAAACGUUAGGUCAAAUGAUGUGCAUUUUUUCCGGUUGUGAUAAAAUACACAUAACAAAAAUUUACCAUCUUAACCAUUUUCAAGUGCACAGGUCAGUGGCAUUAACUAUGAAUACAGUCACAUUGUUGCACUACCCUUAUCGCACUCCACCAUUCCUCCACAGAGGAGAGCUGGCUUGCUUCUAGAAUGCUCAUCAAAUGCCUGGCACUUUGCCAGGGUUUCACAUCUCUUUGCAUUUUGGACAGCAGAGAUUCUGUCCCCAUUAAACACUAACUUCCCAUUCCCUCUCCCCCACAGCCUCUGGCAACCACCAUCCUAAUUUUUGUCUCUAUAGAUUUGACUCUUCUAGAUAUCUCAUAUAAGUGGAAUCAUAUAGUAUUUAUUUUUCUGUGACUUACUUCACUUGGCAUAAUUUCUUCAAGUUUAAUCAUGUUGUAGCAUGGGUCAGAAUUCUUCUCCUUUUUAAGGCUGCAUACUAUUCCACUUGGGUGGCGUCUACCUUUUGGCUGUUGUGAAUAGUGCUACUAUGACCAUGGAUGUACAAAUAUCUCCUCGAGACCCUGCUUUCUAUUGUUUUCGUACAUAUCCAGAAGUGAAAUUGCUGCAUCAUCUGGUAACUGUACGUUUAAUUUUUUGAGGGACUGCCAUACUGUUUUCCACAGCAGCAGGACCAUUUCGCAUUCCCACCAACAGUGCACGAGGGCUCCAGUUUCUCCCCAUCAUUGCCACCACUUGUUAUUUUCUGUUGGGUUUUUUUUUUUUUUUUUGAUAGUAGUCAUCUUAAUGACUGUGAAGUGGGAUGUACAUAUUUUUAAGGCUUUGAAAUCAAUUGCUGAACUGUACAGUAGAAAGGUAAUACUUGGCACUUUUACCAACAAUGGAUAGAGCACUAUUUCCACCGUCCCUAUGAACGCAGAGUACCCCUGCCAGUUUUUUGAUGAGUAUUUGAAAGAGGAAGCGUGCACGUGGUGUGGUAAACCCAGAGGACUGUGCCUACCUGCCCAAGAGGAAGACCUGGGUUUUCUCUGGCUGAGACCACCAGCUGACUGGCCCUCUCAAGUUUUAAAAUCCUGCGUUUAGAUCAACUCUGAAGCUCAGCUUCACGCAUUACCUGAUGUGGCCGAUAUAAAAAGAGAAGAAUAUCAGAUAUAAAGAAACCGUAUAUUUACAUACAAUUAGAAGCAAAUAUUUAAUGCAAGCAAAUGUUUUAUAGGAGGUGAGAGAAACUCCUGUAAGGACCAGAAAAAUAAGCUGAGCACUCCCAGGAAACAAACCUGUGUCUCAAAAUUUGGUGUUAGCCUUUGAUGGGAAAGAAAAUGAAUCAGUUUCUGCUUUUCCUUUGUUUCAUUUCUAUUUUUUUUUUUUUUUUUUUUGAGAUGGAGUCUCACUCUGUCACCCAGGCUGGAGUGCAGUGGUGUGAUCUUGGCUCACUGCAAUUUCUGCUUCCCAGGUUCAAGUGAUUCUCCAACCUCAGCCUCCUGAGUAGCUGGGAUUACAGGCAUGCACCACCAUGCCUAGCUAAUUUUUGUAUUUUUAAUAAAGAUGAGGUUUCGCCGUGUUGGCCAGGCUGGUCUCAAACUCCUGACCUCAGGUAAUCCAUCCGCCUCAUCCUCCCAGUGCUGGGAUUACAGGCGUGAGCCACCACGCCCGGCCCUUUGUUUCAUUUUCGAAUUUGAAUUAUGAUUGUAGGGCUCUGAUUCCCCAAACCUUCACAACUUAAAACCAAGUGCCCAUCUCACGUACCCCUCCUCCCCCAGCAGCCGGGGCCUCCCUCCCUCCUGGCCACACUCUGUGGCACGACCCUCUGAGCGUGGUCUUCCCUGUUAGUGGGGCAAGCCCUGGAGGCAGGGUCUGUGUCUUGCUCUCCAGGAAUGGCCUGAAUCUCCUCAAGUCCUAGCCCAAAACGUGAUUCACAAUCUUGGCUUAAGGUAAUCCUAAUGCUUCUAGAAUGUUCUUCAAAUGCCUGGCACUUUCCCACCUAAAUUAUCCCAUUCCAUCCUUUCAGCCAGCUUAUCAGGUGAGCACUACUAUUCCUCCUAUUUUAUAGAUGAGGACGCUGAAGCGCAGAGAGGAUAAGAAACUUGCUCAGUGACACACAGCUGGUGAGGGGGAUCUGGGUUUGAAUUCACACCUUCGGGCUCUAGUGUCAGUGUUCUGAACGUACACCCAGCAGUGCCUCUGACAUGAUGAACGGAUGAGACGUUCAGUGAGGAGGGAGAGCAGGCACCAAAAGCCUGUAUCGGCUAUAACCAAGUAAGAGCAGCCUUGCUAAGUAGCAGUCGGUCUAGAAAUCAGUUCUAUUCGAAGACUCCUAAUUGGGCUUUUCUGGGUGAUGAUAACCUUCUUGGUAAAACUGAACCCCAAGUUCUUUGGCCUGGUUGCCAUUCCCUGGCUAGCACCACGUAUUUACGCCUUUGUGCCUUUUCACAUGCCUCGGCUUCUCCUUGGAAAUCCUGUUCAUAUCACCCUUUUCUUCUGCAACUGAAACUUGCUAUUUGUCAUUCUGGGCUUAGCUCUGAUUUCACCAGUUCUGUGGCUCCAUUCUUAGCCAUCGCAUCCCUUCUCCUCUCCUUGGUCUCUCAGUCACGUCUCCUACCUCAGUUGAAAUUCUUCCCACUAGUCUUGAGCGUAAAUUAGUUCAACCAUUGUGAAAGACAGUGGGGCAAUUCCUCAAGGAUCUAGAACCAGAAAUACCAUUUGACCCAGCCAUCCCAUUACUGGGUAUAUACCCAAAGGAUUUCCGAUAAAUCAUUCUACUAUAAAGACACAUGCACACCUAUGUUUAUUGCAGCACUAUUUACAAUAGCAAAGACUUGGAACCAACCCAAGUGCCCAUCAGUGAUAGACUGGAUAAAGUCUACCCCUCUUCCAGAAAGUUUGUGAAUAACCCACCCCUUAUUUAGCAUAUAAUUAAGAGUGGGUAUAAAUAGAGCCAGCCAGCAACCCACAAGUGCUACUCUGGGCCCCUCUGCCUGUGGGAUAGCCCUGCUCUGCCAAUGAAGCAGCCAUCUUGCUGUUCACUACGCUAUAUAAACUUGCUUUCUUUCACUGUUGGCUUGCUCUUGAAUUCUUCCCUGAAUGAAGCCAAGAACCAACUCAGGCUGAGCCCCCGUUUUUGGGUUUGCCUGCAUCACCUGCAGUGGAGAUGGUUGGUUGUUUACCAAAAUCAUUUCUCCCUUCUCUCUGGACAUACUGCUGGACUACAUUUCCCAUCCAACAUGACAGGUGGGCACGGCCUGACGACUGGAUUGUCCAACAAAACACAGAAAGUGUAGACAAGAGAACAGCAGAAAGUGACGCCUGCAGCCACAGAGAUGUGCUCCCAGUCUCCCUCUUUUCUGACUGCUGGGGGUGCACACCACAGCGAGGCCCAAGGGCUGUGAUGGAGGCCUAGGAUGGAAGGUGGCUGGUCCCUGAAUUACUUCUAGGAGAGGCACCAUCUGCUGAGCAGGAACCCCUGCCUGGGACAGUUGCAAGAACAAGAAAUCAGCUCCUUUUGUGCCAGAACCAGUAUGCAUGUUGAGGUCCAAUCCUACAGUUAGUGAUGUGGUAACAGAAAUGAGCUUUGUGCUUCCAUGCCCUGGGCAACUGCAGGCAGCUGAGGCCCCCAUCUGCAGGUGGUCUCUGCAGGCAGAGGGUUUCUGGUGAAGGGCCCUAUGGGGUUUCUGAUGAGGGCCCCACAGAAACCAGAAUCUCUUCCCUGCUGCUUAUUUCAAAUUCUGCUCGGUUGUCCCUUCCAGGCCAGGCGGGUAAUCUUGCUUGUGGCCACACUCCUCUUCCUGGGACCUGAGCCUGCCCUCCUGCUCCUGAGUAGUUCAUUGUGAUGCUGUCUGCUGUGGCUGUGGAGUGCUACGCGCUGGCCAGCCUGAGGGCGACCUGUACCGCCUUGGCCAAACCCUUUACCCCACUGAGAGAUACCUCCCUCAUCUGCAGCGAGAGUCCCUACCUUGUAGGGCAGUGUGAAGGAUGUCCUGAGAUGGUCAGGACUUAGCACCCUGUAAGCACAAGAGCUGUUCUUGGUGGCGUUAUGAUCACACCCACAGAUAGGGCCUCAGGCAGGCCUCAGUGUCCUCCUGGCUGGCCACGUGCUACGGAUGUCCCCAUGCACUUGAUGUGUCAGCAGCAGAAGGACCUUCAGGAGGAGGCAACGAUGGGAUGAGACGAGGCUCAAAGGAGGAUGUUGCCGCGCAGAGACGUUUCGGGAAUAUGAGGCAGGUCACCACCUAUGAUUCUUGUGGUAGUGGAGGAAUGGUGGCGGCUGUCAUUGUGACACCCACUUUAGAGACAGGAAACUGAGCUUCAGAGAGGGGGAGUCCAGGCCCCACAGCACACAGCCAGGAAAGGGCCGGGCAGAAGGGGCUUUGGGUUUUAACCUAACUCACCCCGACUGCCUGCUUCUUCACCCAGCCAUCAUGGAACGUCUCUGUGCCUCUUCCCUGCUCUCGUGGAGGCCUGGGUCAGGCAGCUGCCCAGAGGCAGACGUGCACUGUGACCCUAGAAGACUGUUCCAGACAGGCCAGCCCAGGCAGAGACAAAACAGGGACCUGCUCCUCAUUGGUGUCACGACCAAAUGCAGGGGAUUUGCUAAGGGAGGCGCAGCCAUGAAUUGGGAGCCAGCUUCGUGCUCUGCCACUCCUUCUUGCUAAUCCCUCGAAAAUCCAAUCAGAGCUGUUUCCCUCCAUGAAACCAACUGGACACAGCACAUACUGGCCGGACCUCUGCCAGCAUGGAGUGGAUCUUUUUUCUGUUUAAAGAACCAGGUUUCAAAUGUUCUUAAUAAAACGUUUAUAUAUAUCAUGCAGGGUGCAAAUAAAUAUUUUAAUAUAAUUGGAAGAAUGUAGAGAAUUGUAAAAAGUUAUGGAAGUUUUACUUCUGAUUGGCCAAGACUCAAUAAACUCUGGUUUGAUGUACUCUAAUUUAUAGGCGUGCAAAGCCAACUCUUUGGCAUCAGAGAGGCCGUUAACGUUGUAAUGAUGUUUAAACGCUGACAAAUGAGCUGCUUGGGCGGCACCUUCAGCCCUGAGAAUGGAACUGUUGGAGCUGGAGGACUUGCCUGUCCCCAGCUUUCUCCCUUCCUCCCGUGCUGGUGGAGCAGGUUAAGGGCAGGAGGACUGUUCAUUGGGGCGACUGCUCCCCAUCGGUUGAGGGGAGGGCACAAAGGGGACCCAUGGCUUCUUUUUCACUGUUGUCCCUAAUUAUGGUCUUUCUCAUUAAAAUAACAAGG